GUGGGGAAUUUUGGACAAUGGGCGCAAGCCUGAUCCAGCAAUGCCGCGUGCAGGAAGAAGGCCUUCGGGUUGUAAACUGCUUUUGUACGGAACGAAACGGUCCGGGUUAAUACCCUGGGCUAAUGACGGUACCGUAAGAAUAAGCACCGGCUAACUACGUGCCAGCAGCCGCGGUAAUACGUAGGGUGCAAGCGUUAAUCGGAAUUACUGGGCGUAAAGCGUGCGCAGGCGGUUUUGUAAGACAGGCGUGAAAUCCCCGGGCUCAACCUGGGAAUUGCGCUUGUGACUGCAAGGCUGGAGUGCGGCAGAGGGGGAUGGAAUUCCGCGUGUAGCAGUGAAAUGCGUAGAUAUGCAGAGGAACACCGAUGGCGAAGGCAAUCCCCUGGGCCUGCACUGACGCUCAUGCACGAAAGCGUGGGGAGCAAACAGGAUUAGAUACCCGUGUAGUCC
rnacentral:rRNA from 1 species